rnacentral:lncRNA from 1 species
GAGUGAUAAUUAGAUUCUCUGGUGAUUAGGGACAGUUUCCAAACGUGGGGAGAGGAGAUGGAAAUCCAACCUUGAAGUGGAAAAAGAAUGUACGGAAUUGAGGCUCACUGUUGGGAGGUGGGAAAGAGGGCUCACAGACUGAGAGCUAAUUGGCUCAAGGCCGACACCUCCUGGCAAGCCAACGUUUCCAGCUCAGAUCUGCCUGUCUGGACUAGUGGGGGAAAGCACUGAAGACCCACAGAUCUACGUCGGGGGCAUCCAGGCUCUUUCCCAGGCCAGCUGUGUGACCUUGUACACCUGUAAUCUCCCUGAAGCCAGAGAGAGUUGGUUAGUGGGACUUGCAGCGGAGAAUUCUGACUCAUGGUAGCCCGAAGAUGAAGGCUAAGGAAGGAGGUCAUUUGAAGCAUAUUGCAUGGCCCAGGAUCUUUAGUCUGCCCUGAAGGACUGUGGAUUCCAAACAGCAGAAGAUGGUUCCACUAAAGACUGCUUCAAGGGAGGGUCUGGGAGAGGAGUGAAUGGGAAGAUGCCCCUAAACACCUGGAGGUGAUUCAGCCUCACCCUCCCCCAACAUCUGGCACCUACCUCCCCUUCCCAAGCACCUCACACCUCUGCUGAGGCGGUUCCCUUGGUCUGGAAUGCCACUCUCCACUCUGCCCAGAUGACGAACACCUGUGCCUCUUUCAGGACUUGGCUUGGGAUCUUUUCUCGGAAGAUUUUCCAGACCUGUCCUGAGAUAGUGUUUCCAUUUCUCCCCAUGCUCCCACUGGACCCUCUAUGUAUUUCCAUCAUAGCACAUAUACCUUCUGCUCCAGGAUUGCAAAUUCCCCAAGGCAAAGAUGGCCUUGUCUUUCUUUUUAGACUCAGUACCUGGAAUGGCAAAUGAGAUAGAUACUACCCAGGUAGAGCUUAUGAUCAGGUGGGAUUUUUAUAAAGAUAUCUGAAUAAGGAAUUAAGCCUUCAGUGAGGAGCUUUAAAUGCAUGAUAUUUUACCAAUUACACUACCAGGACUUUAGCACCUAA